rnacentral:rRNA from 1 species
AGAGUUUGAUUCUGGCUCAGGACGAACGCUGGCGGCGUGCCGAGACAUGCAAGUCGAACGCUUUUUCUUUCACCGGAGCUUGCUCCACCGAAAGAAAAAGAGUGGCGAACGGGUGAGUAACACGUGGGUAACCUGCCCAUCAGAAGGGGAUAACACUUGGAAACAGGUGCUAAUACCGUAUAACACUAUUUUCCGCAUGGAAGAAAGUUGAAAGGCGCUUUUGCGUCACUGAUGGAUGGACCCGCGGUGCAUUAGCUAGUUGGUGAGGUAACGGCUCACCAAGGCCACGAUGCAUAGCCGACCUGAGAGGGUGAUCGGCCACACUGGGACUGAGACACGGCCCAGACUCCUACGGGAGGCAGCAGUAGGGAAUCUUCGGCAAUGGACGAAAGUCUGACCGAGCAACGCCGCGUGAGUGAAGAAGGUUUUCGGAUCGUAAAACUCUGUUGUUAGAGAAGAACAAGGAUGAGAGUAGAACGUUCAUCCCUUGACGGUAUCUAACCAGAAAGCCACGGCUAACUACGUGCCAGCAGCCGCGGUAAUACGUAGGUGGCAAGCGUUGUCCGGAUUUAUUGGGCGUAAAGCGAGCGCAGGCGGUUUCUUAAGUCUGAUGUGAAAGCCCCCGGCUCAACCGGGGAGGGUCAUUGGAAACUGGGAGACUUGAGUGCAGAAGAGGAGAGUGGAAUUCCAUGUGUAGCGGUGAAAUGCGUAGAUAUAUGGAGGAACACCAGUGGCGAAGGCGGCUCUCUGGUCUGUAACUGACGCUGAGGCUCGAAAGCGUGGGGAGCGAACAGGAUUAGAUACCCUGGUAGUCCACGCCGUAAACGAUGAGUGCUAAGUGUUGGAGGGUUUCCGCCCUUCAGUGCUGCAGCAAACGCAUUAAGCACUCCGCCUGGGGAGUACGACCGCAAGGUUGAAACUCAAAUGAAUUGACGGGG